rnacentral:tRNA from 1 species
GGACGGGUGGCUGAGUGGUUUAAGGCAACGGUCUUGAAAACCGUCGUCCUCGCAAGGGGACCGUGAGUUCGAAUCUCACCCCGUCCGCCA